ACAAAGAUAUAUUUAAUUCAUUCCCGUGUCACGAUAGCCCCCAAAUUUCCCUGCACCGUUCCGGAACUGCAAUUUUGUAAAACUUUGAUUUAGGGUUUAUACCUCCUUCCAUUCUUCAAUCUCUUCGUCUGCUUCUGCUUUUUCUCUGGCGACAAUGGCGAACGAGCAACAAUCGACAGGAACCUGGACCCUCGAAACAAUACCUUUCAUUAUUCUUAUUCUCAUAGCAUCACACAUCUUCGCUUUGGUAUAUUGGAUUUAUAGGUUAGCAACUCAAAAACAACCUCCAAGGAGGAAGGCACACUGAGUUACACUACGAUUCGGUCUUGGAAGAAAUUUUAGUGGAACCCUAAUUCAUUAUUUGUUAUAAUUUAUGUCACUGAGGCAGUCAUAAAAAAGAAGCCAUAUAACGAUGUUUCUCUGUAAGUAUCCGUCAGUGUGUAUUCUCAGAAUCUCUGUUUGGUAUUGCAAGAAUGUUGGAAUGUUUCUUGCAAAUCAAAUUUGAUUUGUAUGGUUUUCAAUUCAUAAAUUUGAAGGUGAUCCAUUCACAUAUGUGUUAUCUUGUUUGGUUUUCGU